UUACUUUACCUUUGACUGCCUUGGCUGAUUCGUACCUUAAGUCAAACUCCGAGAGGGCUAGAAUCCACUUUCCAAUUCUCCCUUUCAAAAUUGGCAGUGAUAACAUAUACUUGACAACAUCAUCCUUGCACACAACUAUGCAUUCUACCAAUAACAAGUAGUGUCUGAGCUUGGUACAAGAAAAAUAUAGGCAAAGGCACAACCGCUCCACCGGAGGAUAUCUGGUUUCAGCAUCCAAAAGUCUUUUGCUGAUGUAAUAGAUUACUCUUUCUUUCCCCUCGAACUCCU
rnacentral:lncRNA from 1 species